rnacentral:tRNA from 1 species
UCUAAUGUGACAGAUCAAAUGUAAUGAAUUUAAGAUUCAUGAAUAAAUAUAUAUAUUUCUUUAGAA